rnacentral:sRNA from 1 species
AUUCUACCCAUGCGGGGAAGGAUGAGAAGCUUCGACUAAGGUUCGAUUCGAGCGCAGCGAGAAAGCGUUGCCGCAGGCAACGACCCGAAGG